CCCCCAGUGUUCCUCGCGCCCGCCUGCGCCUUGUUCUGAAGCUAAGCUAGCUAGAAUCACCUCGAGACGGACAGUGCAUUUUUGUGGAGUAGUGACAAGAAAAUGGCGGAGUGAGUGGGUUGCGCUUUGAAGGAAAGCAGCGACCCUAGGUUUCCGUAAAAUAUAAUACGAACAAAGGAGAACCACAUAAAAGCUGUAACUUUCAUCGAAAAUUUAACAAACAAGAACAAUAUUGCCCCUCUCGCGGAGGUGGUACAAACAGAUUAUAGAACGGGGCUUCGCAGUACCACUGGUGUCAUUUCGAUAGCUCGACGCUAGCAGGCUAGCGACGAGGCACUGGGCGACGGACUAACACGGCACAUUAGAAGUGUUUUCAGAAUAAUUGUUUGGCCUUUUUCGUGAUAUGUGUUGGGUUAAUUUUGUAUGUUUUUUUACUAGCUAGUUUGUGAAUAUCGCAUGAGAAUAAACAAAGUCUGUCCUAGUUAGCUAACAUUACAUUGUUUCAAGUACAUAGCCCACGACCAACCAGGAUUGUAUGUUCACGAUAUGUUCUGAUAACGAGCUGGCCGAGUAGGGGAACCGACGGAGCAGUCCCAGAGAAUACUAUUUUAAACUGAUUGGGGUUGCUCGUGAUUUUGAGGAUAUGGCAAGCAGCAGCGGCUCAAAAGCCGAAUUCAUUGUUGGUGGAAAAUACAAACUUGUAAGAAAAAUUGGAUCUGGAUCAUUUGGUGACAUAUACCUGGCGAUCAACAUCACAAAUGGAGAGGAGGUAGCUGUAAAAUUGGAAUCUCAGAAAGCCAGACACCCACAGUUGUUAUAUGAAAGCAAACUUUACAAAAUAUUACAAGGAGGAGUUGGAAUCCCACACAUAAGGUGGUAUGGCCAAGAAAAGGACUACAAUGUCCUAGUGAUGGACCUGCUGGGACCUAGUCUGGAAGACCUCUUCAACUUCUGCUCGCGCAGGUUCACAAUGAAAACUGUACUAAUGCUCGCAGACCAGAUGAUCAGCAGAAUCGAGUAUGUGCACACAAAGAACUUCAUUCACAGAGAUAUCAAGCCAGACAACUUUUUAAUGGGUAUUGGCCGUCACUGUAACAAGUGUUUGGAAUCUCCAGUGGGGAAGAGGAAAAGAAGCUUGGCUGUUAGUUCUUCUCAGGACCCAUCUUUCUCAGGAUUAAACCAGUUGUUCCUCAUCGACUUUGGUCUGGCCAAAAAAUACCGGGACAACAGGACACGACAGCACAUACCUUACCGAGAAGACAAGAAUCUCACCGGCACAGCACGCUAUGCCAGCAUCAACGCGCACCUGGGCAUCGAGCAGAGUCGCAGAGAUGACAUGGAGUCGCUAGGCUACGUCCUGAUGUACUUCAACAGAACCAGCCUGCCCUGGCAGGGUCUAAAGGUAGGCCAGGCUGCCACAAAGAAACAGAAGUACGAGAAGAUUAGCGAGAAGAAGAUGUCCACUCCAGUCGAGGUUUUGUGUAAGGGUUUCCCAGCAGAGUUCGCCAUGUACCUGAACUACUGCCGUGGGCUACGGUUCGAGGAGGCGCCUGACUACAUGUACCUGCGUCAGCUGUUCCGCAUUCUCUUCAGGACUUUGAACCACCAGUACGACUACACGUUUGACUGGACGAUGCUGAAGCAGAAAGCAGCCCAGCAGGCUGCGUCCUCAGGGGGACAGGGGCAACCGGCACAAACCCCCUCAGGCAAGCAAACUGACAAACCCAAGAGUAACAUGAAAGUCUCUCCCCUCCCUCUCGUAGAGGGUAUCCCGGGUGCCCAGGGUUGAUGGCAGAGGAGUCAACCCAAUUUUUCAAAAAACCUGAAGCAGUUUUCAUCAGGUUUCUGAGCAGUAAGACAAUGAAAGGAAGCAGAGCAGAGAGGCCGUAGCAGGAUUUGCCUUCCAAUCACACCCCGGCAUCUAGGAUCAAAUUCACCAGAACCUGCCAGGCAUUGUGGGCAACCCUUUUUUCCUGUUAAAGAACUUUCCUUCCAUAUAUACUAUAUAUGUAAUCGCUCUAUAUAGAUAACAUGCUCUGCAUAUAUCUAUAUAUUGGUAUGUAUAUACUAUAUCCACACAGAAAGCAGGCUUUGGUAUGGAAUUUUCCGAAGCUGUAGCCUUCUCUAUUGUCCUGUCCCUGAAGAUUUUUUAUUUCUUCAAAACGGAAAACUAAGAAAUGGUUGGCUCACUGCGGAUGUUUGUGCACCUGCCAAUACUUUCCCCUUGAUACUUUCUCCCUCUGAGAGCUGCUGUUUGGGUGCCUCCCUCACCUCAUGGCUGCCUGUCAGAGCAGCUUUGCCCCCAUUCCCUCUGUCACCGAGUGUGGCAUGAUGACCCAGACACACGUCAGUCAGAUUGAACAUUUGAAACAACCAUUUUCUCUUCCUUAUUCAACUUUUUUCCCUCAUCCUCAAGCAAAAUGAAAGAGUGUAAUCUGAAACUGUUUCCUUUAUGAAAAGGUAAUUAAGAUUCUGCCUGCAGAUAUGUGCUAGAAGAGCUUCUAAUGUGAAGAUGAAAACACUAGGUUUCUCUUUAGAAUGCUGCAUUAAUAUUGUACUUCUGAAGUCUCAAACAACAAAUAAAAAAUAUGAACUCCACAAAAGCAUAUUCAUUAUAAAUUAGGCACCACUUGACUAAACCUGUUUGUAAAUUGCUUAGAAAAAAAUGAUGCAUCAAUGAAUUUAUUUUGAAAAUGUUUUUGUUUUAUGUAAUUGCUAUGAUGGAUGGCCUCAAUGUUCCGUUUUUGAGACAGACAAACGUGCUCACUCCACCCGCCCUUCCUGUUUUUAUAUAUAUAUAUAUAUAUAUAUAUAUACUUUUUUUAAAUCAGAACUUUUUUUUUCUUUCCGUUUUAUAGUCGUCUUUCCCUGUAUUGAAUUGAUAAUUUGGGGGAAAGGGUGUUUUUGUUACUUUCUAAGGGGAAGCAGAUCCUGUUGUAAAAUACUCUGGGACUUUCUCUCUGCAACUACAUAUUGCUGCUGCAUAGAGUAGCAACCGUUUCCUAAUUUUCCUUUUUUUUUUUUAUUGCGAAGAAAGUGUUGUUGUUUUUUUUAUAUUUAUAUAUA